AAAGCGUGCGCAGGCGGUUAUGCAAGACAGAUGUGAAAUCCCCGGGCUCAACCUGGGAACUGCAUUUGUGACUGCAUGGCUAGAGUGCGGCAGAGGGGGAUGGAAUUCCGCGUGUAGCAGUGAAAUGCGUAGAUAUGCGGAGGAACACCGAUGGCGAAGGCAGCCCCCUGGGUCAAAACUGACGCUCAUGCACGAAAGCGUGGGGAGCAAACAGGAUUAGAUACCCCUGU
rnacentral:rRNA from 1 species